UCCUCUGUAGUUCAGUCGGUAGAACGGCGGACUGUUAAUCCGUAUGUCACUGGUUUGAGUCCAGUCAGAGGAGCCA
rnacentral:tRNA from 7 species